GAUGAACGCUGACAGAAUGCUUAACACAUGCAAGUCAACUUGAAUUUGGGUUUUUAACUUAGAUUUGGGUGGCGGACGGGUGAGUAACGCGUAAAGAACUUGCCUCACAGCUAGGGACAACAUUUAGAAAUGAAUGCUAAUACCUGAUAUUAUGAUUUUAAGGCAUCUUAGAAUUAUGAAAGCUAUAUGCACUGUGAGAAAGCUUUGCGUCCCAUUAGCUAGUUGGAGAGGUAACAGCUCACCAAGGCGAUGAUGGGUAGCCGGCCUGAGAGGGUGAACGGCCACAAGGGGACUGAGACACGGCCCUUACUCCUACGGGAGGCAGCAGUGGGGAAUAUUGGACAAUGGACCGAGAGUCUGAUCCAGCAAUUCUGUGUGCACGAUGAAGUUUUUCGGAAUGUAAAGUGCUUUCAGUUGGGAAGAAAGAAAUGACGGUACCAACAGAAGAAGUGACGGCUAAAUACGUGCCAGCAGCCGCGGUAAUACGUAUGUCAUGAGCGUUAUCCGGAUUUAUUGGGCGUAAAGCGCGUCUAGGUGGUUAUGUAAGUCUGAUGUGAAAAUGCAGGGCUCAACUCUGUAUUGCGUUGGAAACUGUGUAACUAGAGUACUGGAGAGGUAAGCGGAACUACAAGUAUAGAGGUGAAAUUCGUAGAUAUUUGUAGGAAUGCCGAUGGGGAAGCCAGCUUACUGGACAGAUACUGACGCUAAAGCGCGAAAGCGUGGGUAGCAAACAGG
rnacentral:rRNA from 1 species